rnacentral:misc_RNA from 1 species
UCCAGCCGCGGCGGACUCCU